rnacentral:rRNA from 1 species
AUGAACGCUGGCGGCGUGCCUAAUACAUGCAAGUCGAGCGAACAGACGAGGAGCUUGCUCCUCUGACGUUAGCGGCGGACGGGUGAGUAACACGUGGAUAACCUACCUAUAAGACUGGGAUAACUUCGGGAAACCGGAGCUAAUACCGGAUAAUAUAUUGAACCGCAUGGUUCAAUAGUGAAAGACGGUUUUGCUGUCACUUAUAGAUGGAUCCGCGCCGCAUUAGCUAGUUGGUAAGGUAACGGCUUACCAAGGCAACGAUGCGUAGCCGACCUGAGAGGGUGAUCGGCCACACUGGAACUGAGACACGGUCCAGACUCCUACGGGAGGCAGCAGUAGGGAAUCUUCGGCAAUGGGCGAAAGCCUGACGGAGCAACGCCGCGUGAGUGAUGAAGGUCUUCGGAUCGUAAAACUCUGUUAUUAGGGAAGAACAAAUGUGUAAGUAACUAUGCACGUCUUGACGGUACCUAAUCAGAAAGCCACGGCUAACUACGUG